AUUUUUUAAAAAAAUGUUUUCUUAUUCUUAGUUGAUCUAACAGAUCAAUUGUUAGAUACAAUUGAUCUAACAGGAUACAAUUGACAUAGACUACUUAGUUCAGCUGCAGGAGAGUACACAUUCACAAGUUCACAUGGAACAUUGACCAGAUAGACCACAUUCUGGAACAUUAAACACACAUUCACAAAAUCAAAAGAAAAGAAAUCAUAGAAUGAAUAGUCUCAAGCUGCAGUGGGUUUAAGCUAGAAAUCAAUAGCAAAAUCAUCCCUAGAGAACAGCAAAGUCAGAGGACUGAUAUUAUGCACCUUCAAAAUUUAUCAUAGAAUGACAGUAAUUAAAACAGAAUAGUACUAGUGAAGGAAUAAAUGUAGAGAACAAUGAAACAAAACAAAAAGUCAAAAAGAGACCCAAGAAAAAUAUCUUUGCCAAGGGACCAAAGACAAUAAAUACAAUGGAGAAAACAUAGUCACUUCAAUAAAUUGUGCUGGAACACCUUGACUUCCACAUACAGAAACACGAAUCUAGACACAGAAAUACCUUUCACAAAAGUUAACUCAAAAUGGGUCAUAGGACUAAAUGUUAAAUCAAAACUAUAGAACUUCUGGAAGAUAUCAAAGAAAAACAUAUAAAUGACCUUGGAUAUGACAAUGAUGUUUGAUACAACAAUGUAAGCACUGCCCAUAAAAGAAAGAAUAUAUAAGGUAGACUUCAUUGCAAUUAAAAUUUUCUAUUCUGUGUGAAACAUACUGUCAGGAAAAAUGAGAAGACAAACCGUAG
rnacentral:lncRNA from 1 species